rfam:Streptomyces chattanoogensis strain NRRL ISP-5002 ISP5002contig16.1, whole genome shotgun sequence.
CGCCAAGUCCGAGGCUUCGGCACUCACCGGAGCCUGGUGCAAGAAGGA